CCUACGGGGGACAGCAGUAGGGAAUCUUUCACAAUGGGCGAAAGCCUGAUGGAGCAACGCCGCGUGCAGGAUGAAGGCCUUCGGGUUGUAAACCGCUUUUAUAAGCGAGAAAUAUGAUGGUAACUUAUGAAUAAGGAUCGGCCAACUACGUGCCAGCAGCCGCGGUCAUACGUAGGCUCCGAGCAUUAUCCGGAGUGACUGGGUGUAAAGAGUUGCGUAGGUGGCGUAAUAAGUAGCUAGUGAAAUCUUGUGGCUCAACCAUUCAGACUAUUAGCUAAACUGUUAGGCUCGAGACCGUUAGAGGUAGCUGGAAUUUGUAGUGUAGCAGUGAAAUCCGUAGAUAUUAGGAGGAACACCGAUUGCGUAGGCAGGUUACUGGGACGGUUCUGACACUGAGGCACGAAAGCGUAGGGAGCAAACAGGAUUAGAUACCCUAGUAGUC
rnacentral:rRNA from 1 species